rnacentral:rRNA from 1 species
GACGAACGCUGGCGGCGUGCUUAACACAUGCAAGUCGAACGAAGCUUGAUUACGGAUUCUUCGGAUGAAGUAUGAUAUGACUGAGUGGUGGACGGGUGAGUAACGCGUGAGUAACCUGCCCUUCAGAGGGGGAUAGCGUUUGGAAACGAACGGUAAUACCGCAUAAUGUAUUUUGACCGCAUGAUCGAAAUACCAAAGAUUUAUCGCUGAAGGAUGGACUCGCGUCUGAUUAGGUAGUUGGUGGGGUAACGGCCUACCAAGCCGACGAUCAGUAGCCGGACUGAGAGGUUGAUCGGCCACAUUGGGACUGAGACACGGCCCAGACUCCUACGGGAGGCAGCAGUGGGGAAUAUUGCACAAUGGGCGCAAGCCUGAUGCAGCAACGCCGCGUGAAGGAAGACGGUUUUCGGAUUGUAAACUUCUGUUCUUAGUGAAGAAUAAUGACGGUAGCUAAGGAGCAAGCCACGGCUAGCUACGUG